AUUUUUUUCACUUGAGGGCAAUAGUCCUCUUUCUCUUGCUUUUAGCUGCUAUGCAGCAAACAAUGUGGCAUUGUGUAUUAGAUGGUAAACUUUUUUAUACUUAGCCAAGUAUCACUUUAGAUGGUAGAUUUUAAAUUAUUUAGGUCAAAAAGGUCCAUCUUACAUAAACCAAAUGGAUGCUAUUAGAAGCUUGGAUCAGGAAG
rnacentral:lncRNA from 1 species